UACGUAGGCAGCGAGCGUUGUUCGGAAUUACUGGGCGUAAAGAGUGUGUAGGCGGUGCUCCCAGUCUGUUGUGAAAUCUCCCGGCUUAACUGGGAGGGUGCAGCGGAAACUAGAGUGCUAGAGGGUGGGAGAGGUAAGCGGAAUUCCUGGUGUAGCGGUGAAAUGCGUAGAUAUCAGGAGGAACACCUGUGGCGAAAGCGGCGCACUGGACCACAACUGACGCUGAGGCGCGAAAGCUAGGGGAGCAAACAGG
rnacentral:rRNA from 1 species